GAUGAACGCUGGCGGCGUGCUUAACACAUGCAAGUCGAACGGUGAAGGCGGAGCUUGCUCUGCUGGAUCAGUGGCGAACGGGUGAGUAACACGUGAGCAAUCUGCCCCUGACUCUGGGAUAAGCGCUGGAAACGGCGUCUAAUACUGGAUACGAGCUGCGAAGGCAUCUUCAGCAGCUGGAAAGAACUUCGGUCAGGGAUGAGCUCGCGGCCUAUCAGCUUGUUGGUGAGGUAACGGCUCACCAAGGCGUCGACGGGUAGCCGGCCUGAGAGGGUGACCGGCCACACUGGGACUGAGACACGGCCCAGACUCCUACGGGAGGCAGCAGUGGGGAAUAGUGCACAAUGGGCGAAAGCCUGAUGCAGCAGCGCCGCGUGAGGGACGACGGCCUUCGGGUUGUAAACCUCUUUUAGCAGGGAAGAAGCGAAAGUGACGGUACCUGCAGAAAAAGCGCCGGCUAACUACGUG
rnacentral:rRNA from 1 species